UACGGGGGGGGCAAGCGUUGUUCGGAAUUACUGGGCGUAAAGGGUUCGUAGGUGGCCCGCUAAGUCAGACGUGAAAUCCCCCGGCUUAACCUGGGAACUGCGUCUGAUACUGGACGGCUUGAGUAUGGGAGAGGAAUGUAGAAUUCCAGGUGUAGCGGUGAAAUGCGUAGAUAUCUGGAGGAAUACCGGUGGCGAAGGCGGCAUUCUGGACCAUUACUGACACUGAAUCGCGAAAGCUAGGGGAGCAAACGGG
rnacentral:rRNA from 1 species